GGAUGUAAACACAAUCUGGCUGCAACAUCUGUCACCCCAUUGAUCACCAGGGUUGAUUUGGAUGAUCUGGCUGGAUAGGUGGGAAUCCCCUUCCUCCCUCACCACUCCAAGUGCACCCCUCCCAAAGCUGCAUGCUCAUUCAAAGAGGACAACCUUCUCCAAUAGAGGAGGACAACCUUCUCCAAUAGAGGAGGACCGCUCUUAGGUCAAUGGUAUAUGAAUAGCUGUGCUCGCCUGCUAGAACCUUCAAACAAGGUCUCAAGAAAUGAACUAUCAAGCUAUGAAAAGAUAUGGAUGAAACUUAAAAGCAUAUUACUAAAUUAAAGAAGCCAAUCUGAUAUCAUAUAUUU
rnacentral:snRNA from 1 species